rnacentral:rRNA from 1 species
UACGGGGGGGGCAAGCGUUGUUCGGAAUUACUGGGCGUAAAGGGCUCGUAGGUGGCCAACUAAGUCAUACGUGAAAUCCCUCGGCUUAACCGGGGAACUGCGUCUGAUACUGGAUGGCUUGAGGUUGGGAGAGGGAUGCGGAAUUCCAGGUGUAGCGGUGAAAUGCGUAGAUAUCUGGAGGAACACCGGUGGCGAAGGCGCAUCCUGGACCGGCAUUGACGCUGAAGCGCGAAAGCCAGGGGAGCAAACGGG